AUCUGCCAAGUAUGAGUUGUACUUAUAGCAAAGAGGCAAUAAAGAAAAGUCAAUAAACUCCCACCCUCACCAUCCAUGAUUAGAACUGCACCGGGACUAUGAACAAAUACAUAGUAUGAGGAACAUAACACAUUCCUCAACGGUUCAGUGUGUCACUAUAGUUAUGUCGCGUGUUUGCACGUAUCCGUCAGACAUAAGCCCUCAACAGUGAACAUAGUAGUAUUAUGUACACACCACAUCAGUGUAGAUUGGUAUAUCAAGUGUUGAAAGCAUUGUGCAUUGGUGCUAGAGUAAAAUGGGGGAGACGCGAAAGUUAGAUUAAACUCAACCGACCCGUUUCCGACAUUGACGCCACAAAUAUUCGAGGGACAUACUGUCAAAUAAAGCCAGGACUACUAUACCAUUCAUAUCAAUUGCUACUACACACUCAUAUAUUGAUCAGUCCAUACUUGUGGACUAAUUGUAGCCGGUUGAAACUCAUUUGAUUGACAGGAUCAUCAAUAAUAUAUGGUAUUUAUUGAUAUACACAUAACACUACUUUAUAUUAAUAAAUACAGUUAUAAUUCAGACGGUAGUGAGUUAACUAGUAGCUAGAAAUUUCAAUAAAAAUUACUAGAGAGUAUAAGACUGCAGGCAAUACGAACGCAUAGUUACUACUGUAUAUAAAUAUUUAGCGUUGUUUUAUUUUUUUGUUUAU